UACAGAGGUCUCAAGCGUUGUUCGGAUUCAUUGGGCGUAAAGGGUGCGUAGGCGGCGCGGUAAGUCGGGUGUGAAAUCUCGGAUCUUAACUCCGAAACUGCAUUCGAUACUGCCGUGCUUGAGGACUGGAGAGGAGACUGGAAUUUACGGUGUAGCGGUGAAAUGCGUAGAUAUCGUAAGGAAGACCAGUGGCGAAGGCGGGUCUCUGGACAGUUCCUGACGCUGAGGCACGAAGGUCAGGGGAGCAAACGGG
rnacentral:rRNA from 1 species